CAAGGGACGAGCGACCAAAGACGCGUGAAUACGGGCCUGAAAUGCACACAAUGUGCGCGAGGAGAGACAGAGAAAUUCAAGGCGAAUAGAUGCACGCGAAUUCGCAGUGUUUUUUCUUCUUUCUUCGCAGUAAAUUUUUACGUUCAAGUUGUUCGUUUUCUCUUCUUUGAGCCAAGGGAUAAAUUAAAUUAAGUAUGCAAACUUGGCGAAGCUUAUGAACGAGAAAAAGGACCUGUCAUGCGAAAAUUCGCAGUUGAAAAGAUAAAGAAAUUUCGAAAACAAAGAAUUUGAGUAUCUUGGUGCUGAGGACAAAGUUGAAGAAAGAACAAGAAGUAUUAACGAGUGCCGAUAGGCAGUGAUAAAAAUAUGACGAAGUAAAGGAUAUGCUAAAAAGAAAGGGGCAAUUGCUGUAUAUACACGCGCGAAAUAAGAAGAGAGAGAGAGAGUGAGAGAGAUAAAACGUUGAAAGAGAGGCCUUGGUCCGACGACGAUUAGCUCGAGGCAAAACUCGCUAUAUGCAUUGUCUCGCUGCCUGCUGCUCUGCUACUAAAGCCCUUAGGCUACUUCCCCUUUUUCUUCAGCUCCAUUUAUCCGCAUGUUCGUCUUUCUCUACCCCCACGUGUAUAUACAUACGAGAGAGAGAGAGAGAGAGAGAAAGCAAGGGAGAGAGAAUAUGAUGGAGAAAGCCACAACUACUGGCGGGAACAUUUGGAAGCAAAUGACAUUAAAAGGAGUAUUUUAUGUUAUUGUUUGCUGCAUAAGUCCAUUACGUUGUAGGUUGUUUUCAAUUUAUUCACCGCGAGAUGCAAUCUUUGACGAUUUGUCAAGUGAUAAACUUAUUAACUUAAUUAUGUUAAUUGAUGUACACAUAAAUCGCUAAAAUGCAAAGCAAAAUAAUUUUAGACAUACUAUAGCGAGGCUUUUUCACAAGUAAAUAUAAAAAUAUGGUCUUAGAUUUCGGGCUUACAUUUUGGCAUUGUGAACGACUGCAGCUCGUAGCAAAAAUCCCGGGACUUACGGAUGGAAAAAGAAAGUAAUUAAUGUUGGACGUAUGACAGCAAUCAAGUUGCAUUGCAGAAAAGACUCAUCUAUUAUGACUUCUGUAAAACGACCCAGUGGAUAAUCUUGAAAUUCGUUAGAAUAUUUCUAUUUUAUUUUCAUUUUAUGUUAGAUGAACUAUUAAUUUAUGAAUAACAUUUGACAAAAACUUCAAAAUAUAAUAUUGCGUUAGUAAUUACUACUAUUUGUCCUUGUCAAGUUUUGCACGAACCUCAAAAAAGAACAGACAAAUCAUCGUCGAAGCGUGACACUACAGCCGCAAAAAUGCCCAUCUUUGCUCGUGUGCGAUAUACAUGUAAGCUCUUUAGUUGCAGGUGCCUAAGGUCUCUCUUCCCCUUUCCUAGUCAAUGGGGGCCGUCAUCUGCUCGCGCGUUCUCACUCUCUUUCGGUUGUGUAUGAACGUAGUUGAUGCCUUGGGCAGA